rnacentral:lncRNA from 1 species
GAGAGGCGCCUCCGCCGCUCCUUUCUCAUGGAAAUGGCCCGCUAGCCCGGCCGGCGGCGCCCCUCCCGCGGGAGGAAGGCGAGCCCGGCCCCCGGCGGCCCCUCGCGCCGCGGACAAAUCCGGCAAACAAUGCGCCCGCCCAGAGGGCGGCCCAGCUGCCGGGCCGGGGACCAGGCCGCGGGACACAAAGGGGCCCGCUUGCCUCGGGCGGCGCAGGGCGGGUGGGGGUGACCGCGGGGGAGCCUGCGGUCGGGACGAAACUGCGGCCACCCGGCCUCGGCCCUCGGCCACGUGCGUCCGCAGCGGGCGGCAGGGUACGGCAGGGUGUCCGAGGAAGAGCUGGGGCCGGGAGACAAAGAGAGAGGGUCCGCAGGGAGCGGCGGAGUGGGGGGUGGGGGCCGGCGCGCCGUGUGCCAGGAAUCGACUGUCGGGGGCUAGGGGGGCUCGGUUUGGGGAGGUCCGGCCACCACGCGGGCGGGUCGGGGCGCUGUCCGCGGUGCUGGCGGUGGGCUGGCCCCGCGGGACAGGAGCGCCACGGGCGCAGGGCCAACUGUGUCCCGAAAGCCACUCGCCCCAACCGCGGGCCCUCUGGGCAGUUGCCAUGACAACGAGGGAGGGGGUGGGGUAGGGUCUGAGGUCACUGCAAAGUCUGUCCUUCCUCGGUCCGCUCAGCGACGGGGUGGGGGUGGCCCUCAGUGAGCUCCGGGAGCUGUCUCCCAGCCUGGAGAAAGAGACACUCAACAAGGGUAGGGGAAGGGCGGGGACAAGUCUACACCUGCGUCCAGGGUCCGAACCAGGGCAGGUGUGUGCACCCGACCGCAUCCCUCCCCAAACCUCGCUCUGGACUAUGCGGGACUCAGGCACGUGAGGCUCCGCAGCCCAGGGGGAGGAUGGCAAAUCCCUCCCCCACCAUCUGCAGCCGCAGUGACACCCACUCAGGUUUGCUGCAGGCAUUUUUUUUUUUUUCUGUCCUCAGGAGCCAGCGCCACCUGCUGGUGCCCUGGCAAGGGAUCUGCGUGGGCUUCUGCUCCCUUCACCCGCCAGGCUCCC